rnacentral:rRNA from 1 species
GACGAACGCCGGCGGCGUGCUUAACACAUGCAAGUCGAACGGUGAAAGCGGAGCUUGCUCCGCUGGAUCAGUGGCGAACGGGUGAGUAACACGUGGGCAACCUGCCCCUCACUUCGGGAUAACUCCGGGAAACCGGGGCUAAUACCGGAUAUGACCUCCUUGGGCAUCCUUGGAGGUGGAAAGUUUUUCGGUGAGGGAUGGGCCCGCGGCCUAUCAGCUUGUUGGUGAGGUAGUGGCUCACCAAGGCGACGACGGGUAGCCGGCCUGAGAGGGCGACCAGCCCCACUGGGACUGAGACACGGCCCAGACUCCUACGGGAGGCAGCAGUGGGGAAGAUUGCACGAUGGGCGAAAGCCUGAUCCAGCAAUGCCGCGUGAGUGAAGAAGGCCUUCGGGUUGUAAAGCUCUUUUGUCAGGGAAGAAACACCGGCUCUAACACAGUCCGGGAAUGACGGUACCUGAAGAAUAAGCACCGGCUAAC